GGAGGUGGGGCGUGGAGACUCCAGGGAGCACGGUUGGGCGGGCUUCGGGAGGGCAUGAAGGGUCUGAUAAUGCUGUCACAAAGCCAGACUGGCUCCUUGAAGGGAUGGAUCCAAAUUCAACAUAUUUUUUAGAAAUUAGACUGUUUGGCAACAAGAAGAGAGUUAGAAAGGAUUUCAAAUGUU